AUAGUACUCCCUCCGUCCCAAAUUAGUUGUCGAUUUUUCUAGAUACGGAUGCAUCUAGACACAUUUAGUGCUAGAUACAUCUGUAUCUAGACAAAUCUAAGACAACUAAUUAGGACGGAGGUAGUACUAA
rfam:Triticum aestivum genome assembly, contig: Triticum_aestivum_CS42_TGACv1_scaffold_273962_3DS